rnacentral:lncRNA from 1 species
CUGAUUUUAUAGAUUCAAGGCUGGACCUUGUUUUUGUUGUUUGGCAUUAUAGUAUAUAAAAAUUGUCUGUGUCAUUAGACUUCAUAAAUAUUUUGAUUGGAUAAGAAUUAUUCCAUUAAAAUAUAGCUGAUUUAAGAAAACAUUUUAUUAAAGUUGCAAUUCCAGGGACUUUUGCAACUACUGCUUUCAUAAUAACACCGAUGUACAUCUACAUCUUCAUGGUGACUCUAUGUCUUAUUUCUUUAGGAACAAUUUCUGAAAGGAAAAAAAUCCUAGAGAACAUUAAUUUCCUUCCAUCAUUUUAUUUAUUUGGUACCGGGGAUCAAACUGGGGCCCUUGUGCUUGCGAGGCAGGCAGCAGAACCAUUGAGCCGAAUCUCCGGCCCCAUGCUCCUGUUAUUUUAAACGACAGUACAUUGCCCAAAGAAAGGACUAUUUUUAAAACUUGAGCCGAAUUCAGUUAAUAAUACCUUUUGGUCCCAAAGGAAAAAAAAAAAAUCUUGAUCUGUAAGAUCCUACAACAAAGGAAUAGUCACUUCUUAUAAUUUCGACCAUCUGUGAGCUCAAGUUUUCAGAGAGGAAGGAGAUUCCUCAAUGAGAGGUUUUUUCCUACACUCCAGGACUAGCUAGACUCCUCCCAAAGGUCCUGUUAAAGGACCAAAGUCAAUGUAUAUUUUCUCACCAGGUUCCUCUUUGGUCAGGGCACAACUGAUGGUCAAGUCCCUUUUCUGGGACUGGAUCUACCUUCUGAGUAACAUUUGUUCGGGACCGGGAUGCCCAAGUCUAAAUACAGUGGGACAAGGUAACCAAGUAACUUAGCUUGUAAACAGUAGGUCUGGGAGAGACUGCGCACGCGCCGCCCGUUUGGGGCUUUGCCGCGGGCCAGAACCUGUAGCUCCGCCCCCGACGUCUGGGCGCCUGUCCUGCGCUCGGCCCGGAGCCGGAGGACCGGUCACGAAGGUCGUGACGGUCACAGGAUGCGGCUCUCGAGAUCCCGGGGCCGACCCGCUUGGGGUUGACGGAGAGGCUUCGGGGCCUUUUCCAGAGCCCGGGCCGCCCGCGUUCCGUGAGCCGGGGGAAGAAAGGCUCCAGGCGCCCCAGGCACGUGGAGCCUGCAGAAGCCAAAAGGGAAGCCCAUUUGGGGCCUGGGCCACAGACAGCAACAAGGCCCAGCCUGUCUGCAACGCGGGGCGACACUUCCUGAGAGGACCAAGCCCAAAGCAGAAUGAAUCCUCCUGUGAACCUCCUCAGCCUGGUUUUUCCUCUUCUUUGUCUCGCUACCCAAGAAUACCGUUUCAGGCCACUGAACUUCAUCUCUUCCUUUCAGGACCAAACCUGCACCAGGAAGGAUUUGGUCUUGUGGGUUUCACAGCCCCUUUCUCUGCGUGUUCUAAAAUGCCGCCUUGCCUAGGAACGGCCUGCUGUCAGUUCCCCCUGUGUUGGGAAUGUUGGAUUUGGAAAUAGAGGGCCUGGUGUUUUGACGCAUGAAACUGGGCAGAUUUUUUGAACCUCUGUGAGCUCUAAUUUCUUGUAAACAUGGGUAUAAUGACACUCGCCUCCUUGAACAGUGACUCAGUAAUCUGCGGUGGCUGCUAGUGAACACAGGCUGCUCCACACUCCAGUGCCACUGUGGGGGUCAUUCCUUGUCUCUACCCCAAGGAGGGGUGUAUUACUUUCUCUACUUUAUAGGUGAAGAACUGGAGAGUUACAGACCUGAGUAACUUGCUUCAUAUAAUCCAAUGGCAAGUGGCAACGUUGAAACCUGUUUUCUUAGUCGUGGUGUCAGAAUGAGAAAAGCACAUGCUUUCAUGGCUCAGACUUUAGCCUAAAGAAGUGGAGGCUGGCCAGGGAUGAGAUAAUUGAUUCUCAGGCACGCUUGAAAUAGAAUCUUUGUGUAUUAGGCCGUAGUGAGUCUUAACAGUCCUAGCAGUCACCAGAGAAUCCAUGGCACAUAGACCAUGUGCUCUCAGUGAUGACGGCCCACAGUUGAACUUGGCCAGCCACACUGUUUUUGUAAGAAAAGUUUUAACUGAAAUAUAACCACCUUCAUUUCCUGACAAAUUGUCUAUGGUCACUUUGGGAGCAAUACCAAGAGAUGGACGAAGGGAGAUGGGAGGGGAGAGGAAAGGCAUGCGAAAAGAGGAUGUGUUAUGUGCUUGUGCCUAUGCCUCCCAUAAUGUAGUCAUAUACUGCUAAUGUGGACUAAUAAAGUUGUUUGCAAAAUGUGAAAUAUUCUGGUCCUUUACGGAAAGAUUUUGCUGAUCUCUGAUGUUACAGAUCAUGUUUUCUGAUCAUCAGUGAUAGAAAUAAAUAGAUUAGGGGAAAAAAAAACCCAGUAGGUUUGUAGCCAUGCACCCAGUGGUUUUCUGUAACCCUUGGCUGACCCAGCCCUAAUUACCAUGUCAUUGCUUAUGCAGAUUUGACCUCCUGUGGACUUUGGACACCAUGACAACUCCUGUAAAUGCUAUAAAAGGUUUUUUUUAAAAAAAGCAGGGGGUGUAGGGAUUUAGUUCAGUUGCACCAUACCUACCUCGAAAGCACAAGGUCCUGAAUUCCAUCCUUGUAAAAAAAAAAAAUAAUAAAAUAAAAAGAAUAUUGCUUCUCUGCCCUUCGGCUAAGAUCAAGUGUAAAAGGUAGAAAAACUGCUCCACCAUCUGAUGAAAGGGCUAAGUCAAGCUCCUUACUGUUCAGACCAAACCCUCAAUCUCACCACAAACCCUAAAGGUUUAAAAUAUCAAGCCCUUCUCACUGGUCCACUCCCACAUGUGGUGUAUCUUGUCUUUUCUUUUUCAAAUAAAUCAUUGACCCU